GACGAACGCUGGCGGCGUGCUUAACACAUGCAAGUCGAACGGAAAGGCCCCCUUGUGGGGUACUCGAGUGGCGAACGGGUGAGUAACACGUGAGUAACCUACCCUUGACUUUGGGAUAACUUCAGGAAACUGGGGCUAAUACCGGAUAGGAGCUCCUGCUGCAUGGUGGGGGUUGGAAAGUUUCGGCGGUUGGGGAUGGACUCGCGGCUUAUCAGCUUGUUGGUGGGGUAGUGGCUCACCAAGGCUUUGACGGGUAGCCGGCCUGAGAGGGUGACCGGCCACAUUGGGACUGAGAUACGGCCCAGACUCCUACGGGAGGCAGCAGUGGGGAAUAUUGCACAAUGUGCGGAAGCCUGAUGCAGCAACGCCGCGUGCGGGAUGACGGCCUUCGGGUUGUAAACCGCUUUCGCCUGUGACGAAGCGUGAGUGACGGUAAUGGGUAAAGAAGCACCGGCUAACUACGUG
rnacentral:rRNA from 1 species